rfam:Otolemur garnettii contig165479, whole genome shotgun sequence.
GUGCUCACUUCGGCAGCACAUAUACUAAAAUUGGAAGAGAGGGUUAGCGUGGCCCCUGCACAAGGAUGACAUGCAAAUUCGCGAAGAAGUUUUCCAUUUUUUU